GAAGUCCUACGGGGGGCAGCAGUGAGGAAUAUUGGUCAAUGGCCGGAAGGCUGAACCAGCCAAGUCGCGUGAGGGAAUAAGGCCCUAUGGGUCGUAAACCUCUUUUGUCAGGGAGCAAAGGCGUCCACGUGUGGACGAGAGGAGAGUACCUGAAGAAAAAGCAUCGGCUAACUCCGUGCCAGCAGCCGCGGUAAUACGGAGGAUGCGAGCGUUAUCCGGAUUUAUUGGGUUUAAAGGGUGCGUAGGCGGAGUGUCAAGUCAGCGGUAAAAUUUCGGGGCUCAACCUCGCUCCGCCGUUGAAACUG
rnacentral:rRNA from 1 species